rnacentral:tRNA from 1 species
GCAAUAAUAGCUUAAUGAAAGCAUUGGUCUUGUAAGCCAAAGAUGAGUAACUCAUAUCUCUUAUUGCU